AAAAUUACAUGACUUGGAAUUAUUUUUUUCUUGUGUUCAAACUGUCCACUUCCUCAUCUGUUAUUUAUUUUAAAAGGCUUAUUCUUAGGGCCCGAAACUUAGAUCAGCAGGUAAAGGUACGUGGUGUCAAGCUUGAGGACCUGAGCUUGAUUUCCAGGACCAACAUAGUGGAAGGGGAGAACCAGUUUCCAAAAGUCCUCUGGUGUCCACGUGUACACACACACACACACACACACACACACACACACUGAAAAUCAUGAAAACCUGGAAGAAAAAUAUCCCCAACCCCUCAAAAAACCAAAGCCAACCAACCAAACAAACCAGAUACACAAAAAUAUGGAGUCCAUUUUGUGUGGACAUGGGAUCUUCUCUGGAAUGUGGUUGGAACUUAAUGAAACUCCACGGGAUAAAAUCAAUUUUCUCCUUGUCAGUGGAUAUCAACACCACACUCUUAAACUUUGUAACCAAAACAGUGGCUUUCACUACCUGAGAUUGCAAAGAUAUUUUUUACUCGUUCUUGUUUUAAACUUUUUUCCUGGAGAUUCUUCCUUAUUUUCUCGUAUGAAUUUUUAGUAUCAACUUCUUGCAUUUCAGAUAUCCUGGUAGCAUCGUCUCACUAACCUGGGAAAAUACAGCUAAAAUUCCCAUUCAAAACCCUGGUCCAUAAAGAAAUGCCUGAAGCUAUGCAGGGAUGUGACUACAAACG
rnacentral:lncRNA from 1 species